AUUCAUCAGUCAAUUUCCGACACUUGGCCAGAGCGGUGGUACUAUUUAGAAAAUCCGGCAAACUUAAAAAUUGUUUUAAAAUCGUUUUAACUGAAUUAAUAUAAUCAAGAAAUAAAUCGCAAUGGCUGAAAAAGAAAUAAUAUCUAGUAGUGAAAACGGUGAGCAGUUUUUCGAGGGUGUCGAAAAGCUUAUUGAAAUAUGGUUUACGCCGGCCAAAAAUGCGGAUCUAAGAAAAAUAACUCGCCAACAAUGGGAGAAUGUGCUGAAAAUAGUCCGUUGCGAGAUCAUCUCCUUCACACAGAGCGAGCAGGUUGAUGCCUAUGUUCUAAGUGAGUCAAGCAUGUUCGUGUCCCGCCGCCGCUGGAUCCUCAAGACGUGCGGCACCACGACCCCGCUCCGCUGCGUGCGCUGCGUGCUGUCUCUGGCGCGCGACGUGGCGGCGCACGCGCAGGUGCAGAACGUGUUCUACUCGCGCCGGGAGUUCGCGCGCCCGCGCAGCCAGCUCAAGCCGCACCAUCACUUUGAUGCUGAGGUGGAGCUGCUGGACUCGUUCUUCGGCGACGGCUCGGCGUACAUCCUGGGCCCCGACCAGGACUGCUGGUACCUCUACACACUGCUGCCGCUAGAAGGCACAGUAGGCGCGCUCGAGAAGGAAGAGCGCGAGACCCGCCUCUCGGUCUCUGGACAGACACAGGAGCCGGACCAGACCAUCGAGAUCCUCAUGUCGGAGCUGGACCCUGAGGUCAUGGACAUCUUCACGCGCAAGCAUAGUGCGCACGCGCAGCAGGCGACUAGGGAGUCGGGCAUAGACCAGAUAAUCCCGGGCAUGGUGAUCGACGACUUCCUGUUCGACCCCUGCGGGUACUCCAUGAACGGAGUCGCCAAGGAUGGAGAUAAGGAUUUGCCAUCUGGUUGCUACAUGACGAUCCACAUAACCCCGGAGCGCGAGUGCUCGUACGUGUCCUUCGAGAGCAACGUCCCGGCGCGCUGCUACCACGCCCUGGCGGCGCGCGUGCUGGCCACCUUCCGCCCCGGCCGCGCCCUCCUCACUGUGCUGGCCACGCCGGUGUGUACCUUGUGUCUAGUGCUGUAGGGUCUAUAGUCGAGAGCAACGUCCCGGCGCGCUGCUACCACGCCCUGGCGGCGCGCGUGCUGGCCACCUUCCGCCCCGGCCGCGCCCUCCUCACUGUGCUGGCCACGCCGGUGUGUACCUUGUGUCUAGUGCUGUAGGGUCUAUAGUCGAGAGCAACGUCCCGGCGCGCUGCUACCACGCCCUGGCGGCGCGCGUGCUGGCCACCUUCCGCCCCGGCCGCGCCCUCCUCACUGUGCUGGCCACGCCGGUGUGUACCUUGUGUCUAGUGCUGUAGGGUCUAUAGUCGAGAGCAACGUCCCGGCGCGCUGCUACCACGCCCUGGCGGCGCGCGUGCUGGCCACCUUCCGCCCCGGCCGCGCCCUCCUCACUGUGCUGGCCACGCCGGUGUGUACCUUGUGUCUAGUGCUGUAGGGUCUAUAGUCGAGAGCAACGUCCCGGCGCGCUGCUACCACGCCCUGGCGGCGCGCGUGCUGGCCACCUUCCGCCCCGGCCGCGCCCUCCUCACUGUGCUGGCCACGCCGGUGUGUACCUUGUGUCUAGUGCUGUAGGGUCUAUAGUCGAGAGCAACGUCCCGGCGCGCUGCUACCACGCCCUGGCGGCGCGCGUGCUGGCCACCUUCCGCCCCGGCCGCGCCCUCCUCACUGUGCUGGCCACGCCGGACUCGCCGGGGGCGGAGGCGCUCCGCUCGCUGCAGAAGCGCGGCUGCAGCGGCUACAGCCAGCUCGAGACCACGCUGUGUCAGUUCUCCGGCUACGAGCUCCUGUACGCGCUGUACUCGCGCUUCCCCAGCUGAGGGGCCGCCCGCGCCGCGCCGCACUCACCCCGUAUAAAACCCAGACAUGAAGCAUUUCCACACCGCUCGUUGGACGACAUCCUGCAGUCCGCGAGAGACGCCAGCUGGACGCUGGAGCCCUACGCAGCGCGCCGCCGCCGGAAACUAGAGCCCAGCGCCGCAGAGCCCGGCGGAGAGCCCCAACAUGCCGGGGCCGUAGAGACCAAUCAUACCGGCAAUGAAAAUUCUAAGCUUUUAGAGCCUAGCAAUAUAAAGAUAGAGCCUGGUGGGGCUCUAGAGCCUAAUCAUGACAAGCUAGAGCCCAGUCGGGAUCUAGAGCCCAGUAAUGCCUCAAAGAUAGAGCCACCAGCGCGGCUGGAGGCGUGCGCGGACUCUGCGGCGGCGCGCUUCGUGCGGCGCCUGUGUCGGCUCUGUGACGUCACGUGACGUCGUCACACAUGGCUCUAACUCGCCCGCAGUAGCUAACGUAACAGUAGGUCUCUAAGAGCCUGUCCCUUAACCUUAGCCAAUUAAUGUUAAG